rnacentral:rRNA from 1 species
AACAAAAACAUGGCCUUUAGGGGGAGAAUUUAAGGUCGGGCCUGCCCACUGAAGUAGUUGAAGGGCCGCGGUAUUUUGACCGUGCAAAGGUAGCAUAAUCAUUAGUCUUUUAAUUGAGGGCUGGAAUGAAUGGUUUGACGAAAUAUUGACUGUCUCUUUAUAAUAAAUGGAAUUUAACUUUUGAGUCAAAAGGCUUAAAUGAGUGUAAAAGACGAGAAGACCCUAUAGAUCUUUAUAUAGUUCUAUAAUUGCUUUAUUUAGUUGUUUUAUUUACAAUUAUUUAAUUAUAUUUUGUUGGGGUGACAUGAAGAUAAAAAUAACUCUUUAUAAUAAGAACAUUGAUUUAUGGAUGAUUGAUCCGUUAUUAACGAUUAUAAGAUAAAGUUACCUUAGGGAUAACAGCGUAAUUUUUUUUGAGAGUUCUUAUCGACAAAAAAGAUUGCGACCUCGAUGUUGGAUUAAGGAAUAUGAUUAGGUGUAGCAGUUUAAUUAAUAAGUCUGUUCGACUUUUAAAUCCUUACGUCAUCUGAGUUCAGACCCGGA